UCCCUGGUGGCUCAGAUGGUAAAGCGUCUACCUACAGUGCAGGAGACCCGGGUUCAAUCCCUGGGUAGGGAA
rfam:Ovis aries breed Texel chromosome 1, whole genome shotgun sequence.